CACCUGCAGCCCAGAGCCUGAUGGUUCCGGCACCUUGGUCUCAGACCUCCGGCGUCCAGGACUCAAGAAAUAAUUGUCUGUCGUGGAUAAGCCCUUGGUUUGUGGCACGUUGUCAUAGCAGCCGGACAGAAGAUGCCCCCACGGUGACCCACCUCACAAGCCUGGACCGUGCCCCACACGUGUCCUGGGUCUCCCUGGCGCCUCUGACCUGCGGCCCCUUCCAGACGGCUGGAGACUUCUCCCCCAGGGACACCUGCGGGUGUGAACAGUCCAUUUCAGGUCUCGACGGCUUUCGGAGUCCCUGGCUGCUCCUGGGGAGUUGCUCUGCCUUCUGCCUCGGUCGUCCGGCCUGCGCCGGCUGGGAGCCUCUGCAAAGCUAAGUUACCCGCCUUUUGUUGCGACGCGGGCCCCGGAGGACUGAAAUCAAACGCGUGGCUUCUGUGGAGGGAGAGGGAGAGAGGCGGCUAAUGAGCAGCUGUGCACAUCCCAAGUCCUGGGGGUUAAUUCCCAAAGAGCCGGAUCAGAAACAUGCCUAAAAGCCCAGUUUGAUAAAUUUCCAGGACGCCAACCCCGAGUGGAGCUAGGAGAGCUUGAAAGGAGGCGAGGUGAUUGAUGUGUUCCUCUUUGUUUUCACUGCAGCUGUGGCUGGGACGCGGCCGGGAUGUGGCUGGGAUGUGGC